UGGGUAACCUGCCUCUUGCUCUGGGAUAACUCCGGGGAAACCGGGGCUAAUACCGGAUAUUCAUUUCUGGCCGCAUGGCUGGUUGUGGAAAGUUUUUCGGCGAGAGAUGGACCCGCGGCCUAUCAGCUUGUUGGUGGGGUGAUGGCCUACCAAGGCGACGACGGGUAGCCGGCCUGAGAGGGCGACCGGCCACACUGGGACUGAGACACGGCCCAGACUCCUACGGGAAGCA
rnacentral:rRNA from 1 species